UUACGAGGUCAGGACACUGUGAGGGUUGACAGAUUGAAAGCUCUUUCUUGAUUCAGUGGGUGGUGGUGCAUGGCCGUUCUUAGUUGGUGGAGUGAUUUGUCUGGUUAAUUCCGUUAACGAACGAGACCUUAACCUGCUAAAUAGUCACGCGAACCGGUCCGCAAGGGCUCAAAGUUCGCGGCUCGACUUCUUAGAGGGACUAUUCGCACCCGCCAGCGAAUGGAAGUUUGAGGCAAUAACAGGUCUGUGAUACCCUUAGAUGUUCUCGGCCGCACGCGCGUUACACUGACGGAGUCAACGAGCGUUUUUCCUUGCCCGACAGGGCUGGGUAACCUCCUGAAACUCCGUCGUGAUGGGGAUAGAUCAUUGCAAUUAUUGAUCUUGAACGAGGAAUUCCUAGUAAGCGCGAGUCAUCAACUCGCGCUGAUUACGUCCCUGCCCUUUGUACACACCGCCCGUCGCUCCUACCGAUUGAACGGUCCGGCGAGAACUCCGGAUGGUC
rnacentral:rRNA from 1 species